CCAGACUCCUACGGGAGGCAGCAGUGAGGAAUAUUGGUCAAUGGGCGCGAGCCUGAACCAGCCAAGUCGCGUGAGGGAGGACGGCCCUACGGGUUGUAAACCUCUUUUGCCGGGGAGCAACGGGCGUCACGUGUGGCGCCACUGAGAGUACCCGGAGAAAAAGCAUCGGCUAACUCCGUGCCAGCAGCCGCGGUAAUACGGAGGAUGCGAGCGUUAUCCGGAUUUAUUGGGUUUAAAGGGUGCGUAGGCGGGACGGUAAGUCAGCGUUAAAAAGGGGGAGCCCAACUCCGUCGAGCCGUUGAAACUGCCGUUCUUGAGUGAGCGAGAAGUAUGCGGAAUGCGUGGUGUAGCGGUGAAAUGCAUAGAUAUCACGCAGAACUCCGAUUGCGAAGGCAGCAUACCGGCGCUCAACUGACGCUGAAGCACGAAGGCGUGGGUAUCGAACAGGAUUAGAUACCCUCGUAC
rnacentral:rRNA from 1 species